GGGAUUUUUUUUUCUCUUUUCUUUUAAAAGGAGAGUUUUUAAACCUCUGCAAACCUCUCCUUUAUGUCAUAGUAGUACGACUUGCAGGCAAUAGCACCAGAAAAUGAAGUGCCCUUAUUGCUCGUCGGUGCAGGCGCGGUGCGCCCUUACAAGCUCCGGCCGCUCAAUCACCGAGUGCACAUCCUGUGGCCGAGUUGUCGAGGAACGUCAAUUCCAACCUUACCACCUAUUUCACAUUCGAGCCCAAGACAACCCUCUCUGCCUGGUCACCUCCGAUCUUCCAAGCCUACACCACCAGGCCCUCCAUGCUCGCCAAGGAGACGAGGAGGACCCAUUCGAGCCCACGGGCUUCAUCACCGCAUUCUCCACUUGGUCUCUUGAGCCAAGCCCACUCUCCCUCCGUUCCUCCCUCUCGUUCUCCGGCCACCUAGCUGAGCUGGAGCGCACUCUUGAAUUAACCACCUCAUCAUCAUCAUCGAAUCCAACUUCGUCCACGGUGGUUGUCGAUAAUCUGAGAGCGUAUAUGCAGAUUAUUGAUGUGGCUUCAAUUUUGCGGUUGGAUUGUGAUAUUUCGGAUCAUGCAUUUCAAUUGUUUAGGGAUUGUUGUUCAGCUACUUGUUUGCGGAACCGCAGCGUUGAAGCCCUUGCCACUGCUGCUCUUGUUCAGGCCAUUAGGGAGGCUCAGGAGCCCAGAACCCUUCAGGAAAUCUCAAUUGCAGCUAAUGUUCCACAGAAGGAGAUUGGGAAGUAUAUAAAGAUACUAGGAGAAGCUUUGCAACUGAGUCAGCCCAUAAAUAGCAAUUCCAUUUCAGUCCAUAUGCCUAGAUUCUGUACACUCCUCCAAUUGAACAAAUCUGCUCAGGAAUUGGCGACCCACAUUGGAGAAGUUGUUAUCAACAAAUGCUUCUGCACUCGCAGGAAUCCCAUUAGCAUCUCUGCAGCUGCUAUAUAUCUGGCAUGCCAAUUAGAAGACAAGCGAAAGACACAAGCAGAGAUUUGUAAGGUGACAGGUCUCACUGAGGUCACACUCCGAAAAGUCUACAAGGAACUAUUGGAGAAUUGGGAUGAUCUACUCCCAUCCAAUUAUACUCCUGCUGUCCCUCCAGAAAAAGCAUUUCCUACUACUACAAUUUCUUCAGGCCGUUCAUCUGCUUCUAGAGUUGACCCAGUUGAAUUGACAUCAUCCUCUGUAGACAAAGAUAAACAACCUGAAAACAAACCAAAUAAAACAAAUGAUGCAUUGGUCAGGGGCAAGGAGGAUGUUGAAAACAACAGUAAUUCUCGUGCCCGUCCCCCUGCAUGGCAGAUUUUCAGGCAGCCCUGGCUUCAGUUUGGAAGUUCUGGAGCUAGGACAUCAGGAGAGAAAAUUCAGAAUGCAACUCGAGGGGAUAUCAAUGAGUUGCAGUCCAACUGUCAAGAGCUGGAAGAGAAGAUAGAUAAGCUGAAAAUGGAUAAAGACUCAACAGCUGUGGCUAGGUCAAACCAGUUUUCUAGUGCCCCAGCUUCAUGUGUGAGUACAAUCUCCUGGCCAUUUCGGUCCACACCUUCAUCGGGGCCUUCUCCAAUUGUUCAGCCCUCACCUAAAUUAGCACCAGGUUAUGCUGAGCUGAAAGGUAUUGGCUGUCAAAAUGGUGGUAAAAAUGCUAACCUGGGUGGAGAGAACAAGUAACAGGUGUGAGUUUGGUCAUACUAUUCUGUUGUAUAUUUUAGAUUGCAUGAUAGGAUAUAGUCAUGAUUUUCUCCAUUUACUGUUCUGGAAUUCUUGUUGAAUAUUUCCCAAUUCAGAGAUCAUGGAUCUUGCUUGCUUCACUUAUUGGAACAGAAAUCUCUGUUUUUGUUUUGGUUCUAUAUGAGAAACAAACGUGUGUGGCCCAUAAGGGCAUGAGAAAUUGUUAAAUUUGGAGACAGUGUUGUUCAAAUUAUAAUUUAAUUCAUUUUAAUUUGAGU
rnacentral:misc_RNA from 1 species